rnacentral:rRNA from 1 species
CGAAAGGAACGCUAAUACCGCAUACGUCCUACGGAGAAAGCAGGGACCUUCGGGCCUUGCGCUAUCAGAUGAGCCUAGGUCGGAUUAGCUAGUUGGUGAGGUAAUGGCUCACCAAGGCGACGAUCCGUAACUGGUCUGAGAGGAUGAUCAGUCACACUGGAACUGAGACACGGUCCAGACUCCUACGGGAGGCAGCAGAA